UGAGGAAUAUUGGUCAAUGGGGGCAACCCUGAACCAGCCAAGUCGCGUGAAGGAUGAAGGUCUUAUGGAUUGUAAACUUCUUUUACACGGGAAUAAAGUGGGGGACGUGUCCCCCUUUGCAUGUACCGUGUGAAUAAGGAUCGGCUAACUCCGUGCCAGCAGCCGCGGUAAUACGGAGGAUCCGAGCGUUAUCCGGAUUUAUUGGGUUUAAAGGGUGCGCAGGCGGAUUGGUAAGUCAGGGGUGAAAUCCCACAGCUCAACUGUGGAACUGCCUUUGAUACUGUCAGUCUAGAGUAUAGUUGAAGUUGGCGGAAUGUGUCAUGUAGCGGUGAAAUGCUUAGAUAUGACACAGAACACCGAUCGCGAAGGCAGCUAGCUAAGCUAUAACUGACGCUCAUGCACGAAAGCGUGGGGAUCAAACA
rnacentral:rRNA from 1 species